CUCCUGCCUCAGCCUCCCAAGUAGCUGGGAUUACAGCCAGCUGAAAUUUUGAGAGCCACCUUAUAGAAAGCCUAACAGCAAAGACUGGAGAGAGGCUUCCAGCCAACAGCCAGCAAGGAAUUGAAGCCCUCAGUCCAAUAGCAGUGAGGAAUUGAAUCCUGCCAACAGCCUCGUGGAUGGGUUGCUUGCUGCCUGAAUCUAACUCCUGCUACUACUGCAAAUACCACUGCCAUGAAUAUCCUCAGCAAGACCCCCUUCCAGACCUGCAUGAACAGUUGUGUGAAAUGUAUAUGCACAAAGGGACUGCAAGGGAAGACCCAGAGACUAGGGAAGAACUUGGAACAAUAAUCUCAGUUUCUUCAAUUCCUAAACUUGAGAGUAUUGCUGUUUUUAAAUGAAAGUAUUUUUUCCCCCUAAGCAUUUUGUUCUAAAGUUGAGCUGCCUUUGAGGGGAAAUAAAGAGACUACCAGAUUAAUGGGUUUUUUUCAAAUGGGAUGGUGGGGUAAGGAAUAAUCGGGGUGGUCUGUGGAACAACUUGGAGGAUUGGUGUUAUGUCUCAAGAAGAUAUUCAAGUAUGUUCCUCCUUUUUUACCCAGACCGACUGCUUCAUGCUGGGCUUCAGACAUGAGAGGCUAGGAGUAGGAGGCAUGCCUUGUUCAAAGAUACCCAGUUCUCCCAGGACCAUUUGUUGAAAAGGCAGGCACCUCAUUUUACAGAAGAGGAAACUGAGGCCCAGAAAGAGAAGUGGCAUGCCCAAGGCUGUGCCAGAAGCAAAGUGUAAAAUAGAUCCUGAGCCUCCGACUCCUGGUCUUAAAUGUGGGAAAUAGUCUACAGUUUGGAAGACACCAGAGAAAAAUGCUCCACAGCUCGCCCUGGUGACUCACUACAACUUAUGGGAAGAUGUGAGAUUAUUCUGUAUUCUAAUGUAUGUUAGAAGGCACACUCCACCCAAAGCCUUCCUGUGUGUUCCUCCCUGUGAGCUCACAUCCCGUUCACCAGCUGACUGGGAAGGGAAGUCAGGACCAGCCCUGACCCCAUCACACCAUCAUAACCUCGGGAUGGCAGGGCUGGAAGGCACCUCAGACGUCAUCCUUUGCAGACUCUUCAUUUUACAGUGAGAGGCAUGACGUGUCCACAGCUGGUUAGUGCCAAAGCCUGGGACAGGCUUCACAUUGUCCAGCUCUUAGUCAGAGCACUGUUGACAAUGUCUGCCUUCACUUGGAAUUCAGCACCUGCUUUCAGUAUAAACCCCUGCAUUUCACUAAAACUGAGCAGACUGCUGGUUUAAAAAAGAGAGGUCCAUCCAGCAGGGAUGAUGCUUUUCCUCGUUGAAAGAGGACAUUCACCUAAUGGGAGACCUGGAGUCAGAAUCUUUCUGAUGUGUGACUUGGCACAGUAACACAAUGCAGGAUGCUGGUGUGUUAAUAAAAAUAAAAAUUGCAUCGCCUACCUCAGAGUCGACAACAAUGUCAAGGAGUUAAUAGUCUUGGCAACACAGAGGCCACUGGACAGAGGCAUAACCUUGCGUGGCAGCUGCACGGGAAUUGGAUUUGGCUCAGGUGUUUCAGAUGACUAAGAACAAAGGGGACCACUCUUGGUAUAGAAGUUCAUCUCGUCGGGAGCAUCUGUGGUUCUUUUAUAAGCAAUGUACAUUCUACAAUAGAGGCAGACCCAGAAAUAAUUCAGAUAUUGGAGUUAGAAGAUCAGGAUUCUAAAAAAACCAAAAGAUCCUGCCUUACUAUGCACCUAUGGCCCUUCAAAGGCGAGAGUAGAAUCUGCUAUGAUUUAGAAGCAAGCAAUAAAAAGUACACAUCAGAAUUGGAGCCUGCACAGAUGUAGAAGGAGGCAUGAAGAGGGUAUUGGAGGAUUGCCCACUAUGCAGUCUGCAUCCUGAGUCUGUGGUGAGGCUGGACACGUUCAAGCUUACAGGAGAACUGGAGAAAGCAAGCAACACAGCGGUGGAAGUGAGACCACUGAAGGUAAGCUUGGGAGGGGGUCCCGACACCACCACAUCAGUGGAUCCACAGCUAAGUGAUUGGUGGUGGCCUGGGGUUCUGCUGUUUAGCAGGGACAAGAGUGGAGGAGACAAACUGGACUCGGAACAAACUGGGAGCCUCUGCAUCCAUCCGUAACUGUCUGGCCGUGACAGUGGUUAGAGAGGAGUGGCUUCUGUGAAACUCUCACAAUCUCAAAUCUCCCACAAGUGCCUCUUUCAGCUAACUCUAAACUGGUACCAUAGAGGAAAUGGAUUCUGAAAACUUGGUCUCCAACCUUAGACAAAUUGAAUAAUUAAUAUGUCCUCUCCUGCUUCUUCUGUAACUGAAUUUGCAUUGGGAAGCAGGCCUGUCACUCUCAGACUUUGUGGUUUGAGUAGGGCUCACUUCAGCACCACCUUUUCCUCUUCUCAGCCCCACGGACUGGCAUGAGACUCAGGCCUGGCCAACUGAAUGUCACACACCUAUGACCAUCAGUUGGCUCAGAGAUGGACUCAGGACACCAUCACAGCCAAUGAAACCCUGUUAGGGAAAUUUGUCAGAACCAUACAAAGAAAUAGCUCCACUUUUCCAUAGAGAUGAGACAUAAGCCUGGACUAACUGGUGUCCAAUUUGCCAUCAAGAGAGCAUCUGAGAAGACAGAGGAAAACUGGGGAAAGCGAAGUCUAAGGAAGGUGAGUAAGGACAAGUCCAGUUGAUAUUACAUGAAUCACCUGGACCUGGAAAUCAAGGCAUUGCUGGAUUCAAGGCCAAGAAAAAUUGGAAGCUGGCUUGAAUCAGGUUCUAUCACUUGCAGUUGAAAAGGUCCAGACUAAUAUGAUAACAAAGGAGCAAGUAAGCAAGAUUCUGCCCUACAGUAAGUGCUCAAUGCAUGUCAGCUGGUAUUAUUAUUAUACAGACUUCUAUUUCUAGCCCUUUUAUUUCUACCACCUCUCUUCUGUGUUUUAUGUAAAGUGCAUAAGGAUUGUUCUGUUUGGAAACAUCAAACCAUAUAAAAUGACACCAGCAGGUCCCUUUCUGUCUGUCAGUGUCCACAAGCUCAACAACCAGGAUCAGCAGACAAAAACAGCUAAGCUGGAGUCAGUGUUUUUAUGAAGAAACAGGAAAAGAACUUACUUGGGAACUGUAGCUCAUCCUCCAAUAUUCUCCAUCCUAUCACUCUUUUCAUGACAGUUUCUUCUUGGCCCUGAAGUUGCCUUGUCAUGGCUCCCUGCCUCUGUCCUUUCUCUGUCUCACUUACAUCUUCCAAUGAGGAAUACAGCAAGACCUUUGGAUGAGGACCUCCAAAGGUCCUCAGUAUCCUUAGGACACUCGGUGCAGAACUAGAGGGACUGAGAGGAGGAGCUUUUGCAGGUUAAAUGACUAGUGAAUGGCCUUUCCUUAUAUUUCCAUUAGAAAUGGGAUUAGCUACACCUGAGAAGGAAUGACUUUGGAACAACUGAUCCCUAGCUUUCCAAAAUAUGAGAAAUUGAGAUGCAGGGAGUAGUAAGCACCUAGUUAAUGAGUCAAAGCAUAUUUAUAAAGUUCACAGGGUACAUAGCAUAUAGCAGCUGUUCUCUAUCUCAGUUGAGUUUUGACUAGGAAAUGGGCUUAGGAUAAAACACAUAGGCUUUUGAGUAAUCAUUUGUAAGAAAUUGUAGAUAGUGACCACAGUUUAAUAGCAUUAGAUAAAUUAUGAAAAGUCACUGAAAUACCUUCUCUGGAAAAUGUUAGAAGCUCAAGUACAAUGGCUUAGUUAAAGGCAGGUGGGGGAGAAACUUGAAGAAUGUGGUCCAGUACAAGAAUACCCCAUUUUUCCCCUAAGGCAAUGAAAAUGACAUGAAGUAAUCAUAGUUAUUUAUACAGGAACAAUUUAGGAGACUUAGAAUAUUCACUUCUUUUGCCUUCUAGCUGAGCAUCAAAAUUCUCUCUCUGUCUCUGCCUCUCUCUCUCUAUUUUCCACUUCUAGCUCCAACUAUUUUAAAUCCCUCCCCCAAUAGAACUCAUAACAAACAUAAAACAACAUUUGUUGUAUGUUUACAAUAGAUGUUCAAGCUAAUAUUUAUGUAGGCUUAGCCCUGGCAUUAAAUUAAGGUUUGGUUCACCAACAGGGUGCCUAGAGACUUCACCUCUAUUUCCAUGAGGGACUGAACAGCCUCUUGAGAAGGGACUCAUCAAAAUGGAAGAGUUGGCAAUAAGAAGUUUGGCUAAAUAACCAAGCACUGAAGUUGCAGAGGAGAAAGGAUUUGAAAGGCAGUACAGUGUCCAGGGGCAAGUUGGCAAUUUUUAGCAGGAGGUGAAGUGAUGCCAGCAGAGGUAACAGUGCUCAGAGGGACCAGUAGUCCCCAGGAGGAGCAGGGGAAUCCCCAGUGGAUCUGAUUUGUUCAAGAGCACAUGUGAGAUUAUCAGCUGGCGUUACAAUUUUGGAGUGGCAGUGAGAAGCAGUGAAUUUGAGGUCACUCAAUUUGCAGACCCCAAAGGGUGAAAUGUUGAGAAACAUGAGUUACACAUGUAUUUAACAGCUCUUGUGUAUUAUCACAAAUCCUAUUUCACCUCUCAUGCCCCCGAGGCUUUGGUGUCCAGUUCUCUGAAGACUUCAUCAAUCCUCAGCCAUAAAUCACCUGAGAGCAACUCACCUUGCUUCAUACUAUGAAGCUCCCUGAUGUCACAGCAUGGCAGGCCUGUGGCAACCCCUCAACACUUAUGCAUGAUCCCAAACAGCUAGAGGAUUAACACCUACGGUGUAACCCUUGACCAGCAGGAAAUGGAAAUUACUGUCUUUUUGUCCCCGCAGGUGAAUGGUUCUAAAAUGCAUUUUAUAAGCCUUCUGAAAUAGUCCCACAGGUCAAGCACCUACUUGCUCCAGUGGUGACCAACUCAAUGAUGCAUCCUUGGGUUGACUCUCCCUCCUUUCCAGUUCACUUUCCCCGCCCCUCACUCCUGCACCUCAGCAUCACAUUCCUGAAUAAACCACUCACACAUCUGUCUUAUUUCAGACUCUGUUUGGGGGAAUCCACAAUAAAAAUUUGUCAUUUUGAGUUAAACAUUGCUCUCACCUUGAAGACAUAUUUCCAUACCUAGAGAUUUCUGAAGUUCUCUCCCUUUUCCUAUCAUCUCCUUUGUGCUUUGUCUGACCUCCAUGUUACAGAGCCCCAUGAUAUUUAGAGCCAGUACUGCUAGGGAAGUAGUUCAGUUGUGUUUUAAAUGGUUCAGCAACUUGUAACAUCAACUGAGAACCAGAGGAAUACACUUGGAGGCCAAGAAAAAAAUGUUAGCUAAUAUGUACCAUACAGUAUGAUUCCUUGGGUAAGGGAAAGUAUAUGCAAGUGACAGAGGAAAAUUGAAAGUUGUAGCCCUUUUUUGGACUUUAGAUUUGGAAUUAAAGUUUCUCUUCUCUUGAAAGACCUUCUUUUUGUGGAUAAUGAUGAAUCUGAAGACCAGAACAGUGGGCCAAUUUGCCUUAGUUGAGAGUGGCAAAUAAAUGAAGAACUGAAGAACGUAUCUCUUUAACUAGUGCUCCUUUGUUGAGAAGAUACAAAACAAACAAUUGAAGGGUAUGGAUGAAGCCAUUGGCUUAUUCAUGUCUCUGUUGAUCAUAAUGAGAUUAAUAUAUAUAGGACAUUCACACAAAGAGGAUAUUGACUCGAUGGCUUACAGAUUAUUAGAGUUAGAAAUGUGACCUACUACUAAAGGAAGAAUGUUUCAGGUGUGGAUCUCUGAUUUAAAAAAUACACCACACUUGCCUCAGUGAAGCAAGUCAACUUAGGUGCUGAUACAAUGCCACUGCAGCUGUGCUGAGUUCAUGAAAUCAGAUCCCACUCUCUUCACCUACCCCUACCGUAUUCAUCCUACUUUCCGUCUGCUCUGCCCUUCCCAUUUGGUAACCUAGUCAUGAAACACCUGGCUCUGGGUCCUUCCUUCAGCAUCACUCCACGUUGUACUGCUGGCAUCGCUUUUCUUGGCACAGAACCUCUUAGGGCUGCUAUCCUAGGAGUAGGUGCUACUCAGGCUGGCUUAGUCCCAGGCUUCACUCACUUCUUGGCCCAUGGCCAGGAGGACCGGAAAGAACAAACUCUCUGCACAUCUCUGCAGGUGGCCACAGAGCCCCCAUCUGAGCCUUGCUGAUGGAGAAGAGCAUGCUGCAUCACAAGAUAACUGUGUGGCUCUGUUCAAAAACCUUGUUUAGAAGUUAUUAUUUCUUUUAUUGCAUUAGAAUUUGCCUCACUGUAGCUUUUGUGCUUCUGUCCUGGUUCAGCCUUAGAUAGCAGUGCAGCCUGGUCCAUGUGAAAGCUCUUGCAAUAGGCCUUUCUGCUAGUCAGGAGUUCUCAGACCCAUCCCUACUCUUCACUUUUCUCAAGACUAAUAUCAGACUCCUGGGCUCUUCAAGGUUUCCUCAUAUGAUAAAAGUUCUAAGCCCUCCAUUGUCCUAGUCACUGUCCUCUCUGUUCCAUCCCUGUCUGCCCUUCCAAGAUGCUGCACCUGGAGAUGAAUUUGUCCUUCCUGGGGCAAGUCACCAUGAGAUGAUUACUUUUGGAUCAUACUGAAUUUGUGGGUUAAAUAAACUCAUAGGUCUUUAUCUCAUGCACUAAAUCCAAAUUCGAUCUCUUGCCGUAAAUCAUUUUUUUGAAUAGCUGAACAAUAAGUAAAUAAUACACAAAUGAAAACUAAUCAAUAUUUGAACAUCCUCAGUAUUUUCAGCCCUAGUUUGAGCCAGACAUAGCUCAUCUUGUAUACUUCACUAAGGACACUUUAUACGAUCAAGCAAUUAAUAUUAUGAUGUCAUGUCUCGCAAGCCCCAUAGUGUCACUUCCAGUCUCUUCACCACAAAGAACGUUGAAGCCUUCGUAUUUUUUUGAAAAUCAUAUUUCUAGCUGCAGGAUGGGAUGUAAGAAAAGUUCAGAUUAGGAUUAUUCUAGGCUCCUGACUAUAACUAAAAUCCUGAUUUUUUAUGGAAAGGAAUGAGGAUCAUUCCUUCAAAUUAGAUUUUUGUGAUAAAAAGAAAAAAGUUGGUAAUCUAUUCAAAAUUGUAACAAAAAUAACUGCAUUUUUCUUUGGAAAAUAAUAGUUGAUUCCUUUUUGCUUUUUUUACUUAUGAAUUGGGGUGCAAUAGAGUUUAAUAAAAAUGAUGUGAAACACUCUUAUAAGGCUAAUUUAUCACAUUUGCUUCAAGGAAUUGUCCUUUCUAACAAAAUUGUGAAAUGGAACUGAACAGUAGCAUGAUGAGGCCUCUACCAGGAGGAGGUACAGAACAAGGCAGGAGGUCAGUGGUUAAAGGACUCCUUGCUUAUGCUCAAGAAAUGUGGACCUUAUUAGAGGUGACACAGUGAAAUCAGUCACCUGAUUUCGCAGGUGACUGUGGAGCAAGAAUGCAAAUCCACAAUAUUAGGAUGAAUGUGAGAGGAGAAGGGAAGGAGGCCAUGAGGGAAAAAAGGACAUCUAAUUGGGUCUGAAAGGAAGGGUAGAAUUUAAGUAAAGAGCACUGUGUACAUAUGGGAAUACCAUGUACUUUCUCAUGGAGAGAGGCCUUCUGACAGUCCUGCAUUGAUCCUGCUUCUUUGACCAUCCCUUGUUAGCCAGCAGGUCAUUUGGCCUCACUAGUUGCCUCAGUGCUGAGUGAUAGACUCAGCAGUCCCCAGCCUCUUUGGCACCAGGGACUGGUUUUGUGGAAGAUAAUUUUUCCAUGGAUCAGGGAGAGGAUGGUUUCAGGAGGAUUUAAGU
rnacentral:lncRNA from 1 species